AGACCCGAAACCCGGUGAUCUAGCCAUGGGCAGGUUGAAGGUUGGGUAACACUAACUGGAGGACCGAACCGACUAAUGUUGAAAAAUUAGCGGAUGACCUGUGGCUGGGGGUGAAAGGCCAAUCAAACCGGGAGAUAGCUGGUUCUCCCCGAAAGCUAUUUAGGUAGCGCCUCGUGAAUUCAUCUCCGGGGGUAGAGCACUGUUUCGGCUAGGGGGCCAUCCCGGCUUACCAACCCGAUGCAAACUGCGAAUACCGGAGAAUGUUAUCACGGGAGACACACGGCGGGUGCUAACGUCCGUCGUGAAGAGGGAAACAACCCAGACCGCCAGCUAAGGUCCCAAAGUCAUGGUUAAGUGGGAAACGAUGUGGGAAGGCCCAGACAGCCAGGAUGUUGGCUUAGAAGCAGCCAUCAUUUAAAGAAAGCGUAAUAGCUCACUGGUCGAGUCGGCCUGCGCGGAAGAUGUAACGGGGCUAAACCAUGCACCGAAGCUGCGGCAGCGAACGUAUCACCCAAGACAACUUUACGGAGUUGACGAUUGACGGAGCGAAGCGACGUCAAAGCGUUCAUUAAAGUCGAGUUGGCUUAGGGAUACGUUCGUUGGGUAGGGGAGCGUUCUGUAAGCCUGUGAAGGUGUGUCGUGAGGCAUGCUGGAGGUAUCAGAAGUGCGAAUGCUGACAUAAGUAACGAUAAAGCGGGUGAAAAGCCCGCUCGCCGGAAGACCAAGGGUUCCUGUCCAACGUUAAUCGGGGCAGGGUGAGUCGACCCCUAAGGCGAGGCCGAAAGGCGUAGUCGAUGGGAAACGGGUUAAUAUUCCCGUACUUGGUGUUACUGCGAAGGGGGGACGGAGAAGGCUAUGUUGGCCGGGCGACGGUUGUCCCGGUUUAAGCGUGUAGGUGUGUGUUCCAGGUAAAUCCGGUUCACUUUAACACUGAGGCGUGACGACGAGGCACUACGGUGCUGAAGCAACAAAUGCCCUGCUUCCAGGAAAAGCCUCUAAGCAUCAGGUAACACGAAAUCGUACCCCAAACCGACACAGGUGGUCAGGUAGAGAAUACCAAGGCGCUUGAGAGAACUCGGGUGAAGGAACUAGGCAAAAUGGUGCCGUAACUUCGGGAGAAGGCACGCUGACACGUAGGUGAAGUGAUUUACUCAUGGAGCUGAAGUCAGUC
rnacentral:rRNA from 1 species